CGGGAGAGGUAGGCGUUCAUGCGACGACAGAAAAUGUCUUGUUAAGAACUUUAAUUCAUUUUUUGUUCAUUAUUAUAUUUGUGUAGGGGCUCGACGAUGGCACAAAGUUUUUAAAGACAAUUGUAUUCUGUGUUAUCAGGUCACGAAGGACGCUAGAAACUAUCUCAGCUACAAUCGGGCGGAAGGCGGUGUACGCCCUGGACAACUCGCCGACUCACCGCAGGGCAUAUUUCAUCCAAUAAAACGCAAAUAACUUA